rnacentral:rRNA from 1 species
AAACUCAAAUGAAUUGACGGGUCCCCGCACAAGCAGCGGAGCGUGUGGUUUAAUUCGAUGAUACACGAAAACCUUACCCGGGUUUGACAUAUAAGUAGUAGGGAUCUGAAAAGUGACCGACCCUUCGGGGAGCUUAUACAGGUGCUGCAUGGCUGUCGUCAGCUCGUGCCGUGAGGUGUCCGGUUAAGUCCGGUAACGAGCGCAACCCCCACUGUAUGUUACAAGUGUCAUACGGGACUGCCGGUAUCAAGCCGGAGGAAGGUGGGAUGACGUCAAGUCAGCAUGGCCUUUAUAUCCGGGGCUACACACACGCUACAAUGGCCAGUACAAUGGGUUUGCAAGACCGCGAGGUGGAGCCAAUCCUCAAAGCUGGUCUCAGUUCAGAUUGUAGGCUGCAACCCGCCUACAUGAAGUCGGAGUUGCUAGUAACCGCAGGCCAGCCAUACCUGCGGUGAAUUACGGUUCUCGGGGAUU